UGGGUAACCUGCCUCAAAGAGGGGAAUAGCCUCCCGAAAGGGAGAUUAAUACCGCAUAAUAUGUUUAGGUCGCAUGACUUUAACAUCAAAGGAUUUUCUUUUAGAAACUCCACUUUGAGAUGGACCCGCGGCGCAUUAGCUAGUUGGUGAGGUAACGGCUCACCAAGGCAACGNUGCGUAGCCGACCUGAGAGGGUGAUCCGGCCACAUUGGAACUGAGACACGGUCCAGACUCCGUAGGAG
rnacentral:rRNA from 1 species